UACGUAGGGUGCAAGCGUUGUCCGGAAUUAUUGGGCGUAAAGAGCUCGUAGGCGGUUUGUCGCGUCUGCUGUGAAAACUCGGGGCUUAACUCCGGGCCUGCAGUGGGUACGGGCAGACUAGAGUGCGGUAGGGGAGACUGGAAUUCCUGGUGUAGCGGUGAAAUGCGCAGAUAUCAGGAGGAGCACCGAUGGCGAAGGCAGGUCUCUGGGCCACUACUGACGCUGAGAAGCGAAAGCAUGGGGAGCGAACAGG
rnacentral:rRNA from 1 species